UACGUAGGGUGCGAGCGUUGUCCGGAAUUACUGGGCGUAAAGAGCUCGUAGGUGGUUUGUCGCGUUGUUCGUGAAAACUCACAACUCAAUUGUGGGCGUGCGGGCGAUACGGGCAGACUGGAGUACUGCAGGGGGAGACUGGAAUUCCUGGUGUAGCGGUGAAAAUGUGUAGAUAUCGGGAGGAACACCAGUGGCGAAGGCGACUUCCUGGCCUGUUCUUGACGCUGAGGCGCGAAAGCUAGGGGAGCAAACGGGG
rnacentral:rRNA from 1 species